AUCAUUGACGACCAAAGCAACCGGUCUCUUGCCUCGCCUGAAUUCUUCAGUCUGUUCAACGUUCGGGAAAAACCUAAAAACUACUCUCUUACAACAUGCUCCGGCAGAGUAGCUACUUCUGGGAAGAGAGGAAGAGAUUUCGUCAUAAAAUCUGUACAUGGUGACGUACAAUUUGAUCUGCCUACAUUAAUUGAAUGUGAUAAUAUUCCCAAUAAUCGGGACGAAAUCCCUACUCGUGAAGUAACAAUGCAUCAUCCUCAUUUGAAAUAACUCAGAGGAAGCAUUCCACCAAUAGAGGAAAAGUGCAAAAUUCAUCUGUUAAUCGGAAGAGACCUUAUAGAGGCACACCACGUCCUUGAACAACGCCUAGGGCCAUCCAGAAAUCCAUUUGCCCAAAAGUUGAAACUUGGUUGGGUCAUAAUUGGAAAUACAUAUGUUGACAAGCAAACUGUUCCACUUGAAGUCAACACGAAGAUAACUAACGUUUCAUUUACGGAACCAGAACAACUUCUUGCCUCAGGACCGGAAAUAUCAGUCAAGGACGAGAAUCCAAUCGUAAGUCAGGAUCACGACCAGAACUUUAAUUCGAAUGUCAAGGUUGCAAAAACGCAUUCCAUAAAAAUUCUUCAGUGUACUGGACCUAGUACCAAGUCUGAUAGAUUCACGAAUCUUUCAAAAGGAACAGCACUUGUGUCAACAGAAGCGAAAUCUAUGGCCUCAAUCAAAAAUUCUAGGGAUAACGAAACUUUCAUUCUGGAAUCAGCAAGACCUGAAAAUCACGGAGAAGAAAUAAGUUGCGUUCAGAAACAAAAACCUAUUCCGAAACAAGGACCAAUUGCCAAUCUCAAUCUGCCUUUGAGUAAGCAAGGACUACUCCGAGUAGGAAGCAGUAUCGUCAUAUCUGACUCGAAUCUUAAUGAAAAGGAACCAGUGAUCCUAUCUGGACGUCAUCACAAAGUAACACCUUUUGUCAGACAUUACUUCGACAAAAUCAAAUAUCGAGAUCGUCAUAUAACAACUAGAUCCGCAGGAUUAAACGUUAAGGGGAAACGAUUUAUUUCGCCAGAGACCCACAAAUAUGUGACUAUAGCAAAGUCAGAAGAGGACUAUCUUCGAUCGCCGUCUCUCAACGUUGGGAAAAAUUGUUCUUACCGUUGCAACAACAACAAUGGAAAAUGUACACAGAUGACUAUCAUAUCGUCGGAUACUUCCUUUUAAAGAAUGAGAAACUGUGCCGUACCCAGUUUCAAUUAGGAUUAAUAUAUUCUAUAUUCAUAUGUGAUUUAAUCAUUGAAUAGUGAUAUCAGUCUGAUAUCAGACGGGGAGUGUGUUGCCUUGGAUUCCCUAAUUUAUCUAUAUAUUUUGUGUAAUUAUAUUCCCGAUUAGCUUAUAUUUUUCCGGAGUUAAAUCUGGACUUCACCGUAAAACAUUCUAUUGUUACCGUAGCCUCGCAUCCGUCUUUUGCAAAUCAACCUUGCCACGUCACAUCACUGGACAAAGGACUGUCGCAGGAUGCAUUCUUAAUCUCAAUUUGUGGCUAACCACAGCUUAUUUACCAUUUUUGGAUUGGUGAUAGAAUAAAAGUCAGCACCUGAUUGUUUUAUCUCUUAGUAAACCCAAUCACCUGGUUUAAACUGACUGGUCGAGCCAGCACAACCUGUACUUACGAGUUCAUUGACAGAGACAUUAUAAUCGAUAUGCUCGGAUAAUGUCAUCAUGAUGUUGAUCGUGGUCGUAUUUCUGUUUGCUGUUGUUGCCGGGGUCCAAUUCUGAUCAAUAAUGUCCUUGUAUCUUUUGGUAUCCUCAGUGAACUUCAUGACAAGGACUACCUGAAACACAUGAGGAGUGCUUUCUCAUUAAUGUCGUAUGCAAACAGUUGUAUAAACCCCAUAGUUUAUGGGUUCAUGUCGAAAAACUUCAGAGACACAUUCAAACAUGCAAUAAAUAACUGUCUAAAGGGAUGAUCCUCUAUGGUAAGGCUUCCAUAUGUGACAGAUAUCACUAGAAGGUCCAUUCUAAAGUCCAGUAAUAGCGCUGGAAGUGACGAAAAAGAUACUGGAUUCGUCCGCGUUGACAAUAACAAAGGAAAAUAUACUGCAGUUGAGAUGAAACCCAUUCGAUAUGAAUAAAUAUGACAAACGAUUUACAUAUCUCUCGUUAGUAGGUUAUCAUUAGGCUCUGAGAUGUAUAUAGACUCUGUAUACAUGUAUAGCGUAAAUUGUGAUGCUAUGUGUCAAUUCAAAAGUUAAAUUGUUUUUUUUUUUAUAAUUGGUUUAUAAAAAUCAUUUUAGUAAUAGUCACAAUUCCAACUCGUCAGGUUUGCAUUUAGUUUCAUAUAUUUGGAGAAUGUUUCUACAACGGAAAAAAUGAUUUCAUGACUUUAAAGUCUUCAAAUUUAUCGGCAUUGAAUGUCCAGAAAUAUUCAAGUUUAGGAGCGCAAGCAGUCUUCAAAUUUAUCAUUUAGUCAAAUGUCUUUAAAUAUUCAACGUAAGAAGCGCAAGCACGGAUAUUAAGGACAUUGUGGAUAGAUAUUAAUGAACAUAGCGUACCAGGACUUGAUUUUGGUGAUGGUUGAUAAAGGCGCGGAUGUGAUUUUAGUAUACCCACAAUGAUGCAUCCAUCAAUCAAUUUUUAAGGUUACUAGGUUGAAAUGGACAGAGAGUAGAAGUCUAUUGAUGUUUGAUGAAGAAAAAGUCAUUGCCAACUUCUGUAUUGAUAACAUGACUUUUUGUAUGACUGAAGAUGAAAUUUAUUAAUUGCGAUCUCAUGUUUUAAAAAAACAAAGGAAGGAUAAGCAGUCCAGAAUGUUUUGUGAAAAGAAGAGCAAUCAAAAUGUUACACAUAUAUUAAGAAAAAAUAUAUUCAAAACUUG